rnacentral:rRNA from 1 species
AAAAGUCGUAACAAGGUCUCCAUUGGUGAACCAGCGGAGGGAUCAUUA